rnacentral:rRNA from 1 species
GUGAGUAACACGUGGGCAACCUGCCUAUAAGACUGGGAUAACUUCGGGAAACCGGAGCUAAUACCGGAUACGUUCUUUUCUCGCAUGAGAGAAGAUGGAAAGACGGUUUACGCUGUCACUUAUAGAUGGGCCCGCGGCGCAUUAGCUAGUUGGUGAGGUAAUGGCUCACCAAGGCGACGAUGCGUAGCCGACCUGAGAGGGUGAUCGGCCACACUGGGACUGAGACACGGCCCAGACUCCUACGGGAGGCAGCAGUAGGGAAUCUUCCGCAAUGGACGAAAGUCUGACGGAGCAACGCCGCGUGAACGAAGAAGGCCUUCGGGUCGUAAAGUUCUGUUGUUAGGGAAGAACAAGUACCAGAGUAACUGCUGGUACCUUGACGGUACCUAACCAGAAAGCCACGGCUAACUACGUGCCAGCAGCCGCGGUAAUACGUAGGUGGCAAGCGUUGUCCGGAAUUAUUGGGCGUAAAGCGCGCGCAGGUGGUUCUUUAAGUCUGAUGUGAAAGCCCACGGCUCAACCGUGGAGGGUCAUUGGAAACUGGGGAACUUGAGUGCAGAAGAGGAAAGUGGAAUUCCAAGUGUAGCGUGUG